rnacentral:rRNA from 1 species
GGAUCAAUUUAUUGGUCGUGCUAUUGUACGUACUGGUAUUAUUGAUUCCUACCUUCUGACGAACCAUGAUGUCAUUAAUUUGGUGUCAUGGGGAAUCAGGACUGUUACUUUGAAAAAAUUAGAGUGUUUAAAGCAGGCAUACGCUUGAAUACAUUAGCAUGGAAUAAUAGAAUAGGACUU